UGCAGUCGAGCGAACAGAAGGGAGCUUGCUCCCGGAUGUUAGCGGCGGACGGGUGAGUAACACGUGGGUAACCUGCCUGUAAGACUGGGAUAACUCCGGGAAACCGGAGCUAAUACCGGAUAGUUCCUUGAACCGCAUGGUUCAAGGAUGAAAGACGGUUUCGGCUGUCACUUACAGAUGGACCCGCGGCGCAUUAGCUAGUUGGUGGGGUAAUGGCUCACCAAGGCGACGAUGCGUAGCCGACCUGAGAGGGUGAUCGGCCACACUGGGACUGAGACACGGCCCAGACUCCUACGGGAGGCAGCAGUAGGGAAUCUUCCGCAAUGGACGAAAGUCUGACGGAGCAACGCCGCGUGAGUGAUGAAGGUUUUCGGAUCGUAAAGCUCUGUUGUUAGGGAAGAACAAGUGCGAGAGUAACUGCUCGCACCUUGACGGUACCUAACCAGAAAGCCACGGCUAACUACGUGCCAGCAGCCGCGGUAAUACGUAGGUGGCAAGCGUUGUCCGGAAUUAUUGGGCGUAAAGGGCUCGCAGGCGGUUUCUUAAGUCUGAUGUGAAAGCCCCCGGCUCAACCGGGGAGGGUCAUUGGAAACUGGGAAACUUGAGUGCAGAAGAGGAGAGUGGAAUUCCACGUGUAGCGGUGAAAUGCGUAGAGAUGUGGAGGAACACCAGUGGCGAAGGCGACUCUCUGGUCUGUAACUGACGCUGAGGAGCGAAA
rnacentral:rRNA from 1 species